CUUAUACUCAACCUGGUUUUCAUUCUAUUCCCAAACAGAGGCAAUGCCAAAGAAUGCUCAAGCUACCGCACAGUUGCACUCACCUCACACGCUAGUAAAGUAAUGCUCAAAAUUUUCCAAGCCAGGCUUCAGCAAUACGUGAACCGUGAACUUCCAGAUG